AUACGGAGGAUCCGAGCGUUAUCCGGAUUUAUUGGGUUUAAAGGGUGCGCAGGCGGCCAUUUAAGUCAGCGGUUAAAUCGUGGGGCUCAACCCCAUUCUGCCGUUGAUACUGGGUGGCUUGAUUGCGGUCGAGGUUGGCGGAAUUCGUUGUGUAGCGGUGAAAUGCAUAGAUAUGACGAAGAACACCGAUUGCGUAGGCAGCUGACCAGACCGCAAAUGACGCUCAUGCACGAAAGUGCGGGGAUCGAACAGGAUUAGAUACCCUGGUAGUCCGCACAGUAAACGAUGAAUACUUGUUUUCGGCGAUAUAAUGUCGGAGGCAAAGCGAAAGCGAUAAGUAUUCCACCUGGGGAGUACGCCGGCAACGGUGCAACUCAAAUGAAUUGGCGGGG
rnacentral:rRNA from 1 species